GGUUACUUGCUUGCUCUUACUCUCAAUCUCUCUUUGUGGAGCGGGGAGGGUCCCCUCCCCACCAGCUCUCUGAUUCUCUAUCACCACCCAGGAGUUCAACAACUCCCAGAUUUCACGUCUGACACUGUUGACCUGAGUGAGCCUGCGAUGCACAGGGGGGUGGACUCGUCCUGCGAGAUGGCCCUCCACCCACAGAUCUCAGGAGAAUUCCACGCUUCCUCUCAUGGUUUAUCACGAGGAUACGCACGAUGAGGCGCAGGAGCGAGGCCGCAGGAAGGUCCCCGGGCACGAGCCUCUGUCGCCCUGGACUUGGAAUGUGCUGCCCUCAGAGCACGUGGACGUGCUGGCCAUUUCUGAAGCUCUGUGAACCCCACCUUUGAGAAGUCUUCAUGGAAUCUUCAGGACACAGGCACCCUUGAUCCAGUCCCUGGCUGUCGGGGAUGCAGGUCUGGGGGCCAGAGGUCAGGGAGUGAGGCGGAUGGGUCCAACUCUGUAGUCAUGGCUUGGUCCUCCUGGUCACCAGCCCCCGACCUGAAGCUGUCCAGGACCUGCAGCCAGGUCGUCUCAUGAGCAUACUGGGGCGCUGUUAUCACUCAGGAGAUCCCAAGGCUUGGUGACCUCGGUGCCAGGAACCAGGGCAAAGACCAGAUAUUUGUAUUAUCCCACAGGCCACGCUCUGGUCUUUGAGCACAGAUCCCUCGUAGCAGUAGGAGCAGAACCACAGAGACGCGACAUGGUACUAGAGUCCCCUCCGGUCAUUAACAGUUCACGCAUCCGGCCAUUAACAGUUCACGCAUCUGCCUGCCGGAGGACGGGGUCUCCCAGGGUCACUGCGGUCUGCUGGCUCCAUCCAGUGUUGCCUGGUUCCAGGAGCAGGAAUGUUCUCGCAGCCUAUGGCUGUCUCACUCAGGCAUCUGAGUAUUUGAGCUAAGAGACAGGGCCAUCUCUUGCUCACACUUCGGAGGCGUUAACGUACUAUUGGAUUUCCCUCAUUACACAGCGAAUUUAUCCAUUCCUUUACCCUCAGCUACUGUUUCUACUUCCCUGCAUUUACACCCAACUCUCUGCCUUUGGCAGGGACGUUAUGGGGGGCUGCUGGGCGGGUCUGGACCGCGGGCAUCAACACCGGUCUGGCAAGGCCCUCCCCGCUCAGUCCAUGCUCGGUCGUAGAGGGGAGGGUCACACAGGGACAGGACUGGUGGGUAAGGCACCACCAGGCGAUGUAGCUGUGCUCGCUGUCAGCCCCAAGUUUGCCGGCUGGGGUGCAGGCACAGCCCUCCCCUUCGGGUCCGUGGGAAUUCCCACAUCAGAGCUUAACGAAGUAUUUACGGUGUCUUCGUGGGAAUCCUUCCCGUUUCUGGCGCUCGCAUCCCGGUCCUGAGCCUCUGCAUCGGGUUGGAAGAGAGAACGUUGAGGGGAACCAGAGUCAUACCGAUGUCCUCGUCCUUGGGAAGGACUGUGGAGUCAUAGUGGUACCUGUCCCUCCCCCUCCUCCUCAGAUCCCCCAGGAGAAGUGUGUAAUGGGGACCGUCCUGUAGCCCCACUCAUGCCGGGUGGGAGUGCACACUUGUGAGGGUGUGUAAACCAGCACCUCAUGCCUCCAUGGCCCCAACACCUGUUUUCACAGUGUUUCCGUUGCCGGUUCCCAUUCUCCAUGAAGCUGUUACUCUGUCAGCAUGUCUGUUUGCCCAUCGUGGGACAUUAUGGCUUGUCACUUUUUUGGUGUGAUGAAAUGUGACUGAGCAUUUGAAA